AAACAAGCAGAUAUUCACAUUUGAGUUUACUUUUCUGUUAAUAUACUGAUUGAUGAAGCAAAUAAUCAUUGCAGCUUCAGUACCUAGAGCAGGGUGUCACUUUUUAAACCCUGUAAUGUACCAGUAGUUGUAUUCUCAAAAAGUAUUUUAUCAGCAUCAAAUGAUUUGUUCUACAUGAUUUUUAGUUGUGUAAUAAAUUUACAAGUACUGCUU